CAGCAAGUCUGUCAUUUAGAAUAGAAGGAGAGAUAAAGGUCUUCCCAAACAAACAAAAACUGAAGGAAUUCAUCACCACUAAACCAGCCCAACAAGAGAUCUUAAGGGAGAUUCUAUGA